GACGAACGCUGGCGGCGUGCCUAAUACAUGCAAGUUGAGCGCUGAAGGUUGGUACUUGUACCAACUGGAUGAGCAGCGAACGGGUGAGUAACGCGUGGGGAAUCUGCCUUUGAGCGGGGGACAACAUUUGGAAACGAAUGCUAAUACCGCAUAAAAACUUUAAACACAAGUUUUAAGUUUGAAAGAUGCAAUUGCAUCACUCAAAGAAGAUCCCGCGUUGUAUUAGCUAGUUGGUGAGGUAAAGGCUCACCAAGGCGAUGAUACAUAGCCGACCUGAGAGGGUGAUCGGCCACAUUGGGACUGAGACACGGCCCAAACUCCUACGGGAGGCAGCAGUAGGGAAUCUUCGGCAAUGGACGAAAGUCUGACCGAGCAACGCCGCGUGAGUGAAGAAGGUUGUCGGAUCGUAAAACUCUGUUGGUAGAGAAGAACGUUGGUGAGAGUGGAAAGCUCAUCAAGUGACGGUAACUACCCAGAAAGGGACGGCUAACUACGUG
rnacentral:rRNA from 1 species